rnacentral:rRNA from 1 species
CACAGAGUUAGCCGGUGCUUAUUCCUCAGAUACCGUCAUUGUGUUCUUCUCUGAGAAAAGGAGUUUACGACCCACGGGCCUUCCUCCUCCACGCGGUAUUGCUCCGUCAGGCUUUCGCUCAUUGCGGAAAAUUCCUCA